AUGGAGGCCAUGGACGUCAAGUACCGGCCGGCCCUCUACCCCAACGGCUCCGUCAAGAAGCUCCGGCAGGCGGCCGCGCCGCCGCCGCCGCCGGUGGAGGCCGUGCCCACGUACAAGGAGUGCCUCAAGAACCACGCGGCGGCCAUCGGCGCGCACGCCGUCGACGGCUGCGGCGAGUGGAUGCCCGUGGUGGAGCUCAACACCGCCGACCCGGCCUCGUAUAAGUGCGCGGCCUGCGGCUGCCACCGCAACUUCCACCGCCUCGUGAUGGUGGAGGGCUCGCCGCCGCCCCCGCCCCCGCCCCCGCCGGCCCUGCUGCCGGCGCCGCCCGUGCCCAUGCCCAUGCCGGCCACCGUGCUCCAUGGCCUGCGGCAGCGCGCGCACGGGCAUGAGACGCCGGAGGACCGGCUCCCGGGCGUCGACGGCGACGACUCUGACUCCGACUCGGAUGGCUCCGAGUACGACGACGAGCGCUCCGUCUCCCCGCCCCAGCACCCUCCGCCCGCGCACCUCCCGGCCCCGGUGGCGCAGCAGCCGCCGCCGUACAUCUCUUCCGCGCCACACCCGCACAUGCUGCUCUCUCUCAACUCCAGCGCGCCGGGGGCGCCGCAGGGCCAGAGCAGGCUCCCCGCCCAGCUCUCGCCGGCGACGGCGCCGCCGCCCCACGGGAUGAUGCCGGCCAGGAAGCGGUUCCGCACCAAGUUCACCGCGGAGCAGAAGCAGCGGAUGCAGGAGCUGUCGGAGCGGCUGGGGUGGCGGCUGCAGAAGCGCGACGAGGGCGUGGUCGACGAGUGGUGCCGCGACAUCGGCGUCAGCAAGGGCGUCUUCAAGGUCUGGAUGCACAACAACAAGCACAACUACCUCGGCGGCCACAGCGCCCGCCGCAGCGCCUCAGCCGCGGCCUCCUCCGCCGCGACCACCCCCACCGCCCCUGCCGCCGGCGGGCCAUUCCGUCUCGCCCCGGCCAGCCCCGCACCAGGAGCGCCAUUCAACCCCUCCGCCAGCCACAGCUCCCCGGCCCCCACGGGCACGGGCUUCAACAUGAACGGUACCGCCUCCUCCGCCUCCACCGCCACCACCACCGCCACGCCCACCCCCAUCUUCGCCGCCGGCCGCAAGCUGAACGGAGCCUCAUCGCCGCAGUCGGCGUGA
rnacentral:rRNA from 1 species